GGAUGUGAGGGCGAUCUGGCUGCGACAUCUGUCACCAGGGUUGAUUCGGCUGAUCUGGCUGGCUAGGCGGGUGUCCCCUUCCUCCCUCACCACUCCAUGUGCGUCCCUCCCGAAGCUGCGCGCUCAGUGGAAGAGGACGACCAUCCCAGAUAGAAGGAGUGUACCGUUCUUCAGUCAAGGGUAUACGAUAGCUGCGCUCCCCUGCUAGAACCUCAAAACAAAAAAUAAUCAAAAAGAACAGAUUUUUACCCUCCCCCACAAAUCCCCAG